UACGUAGGUGGCAAGCGUUGUCCGGAAUUAUUGGGCGUAAAGCGCGCGCAGGUGGUUUCUUAAGUCUGAUGUGAAAGCCCACGGCUCAACCGUGGAGGGUCAUUGGAAACUGGGGAACUUGAGUGCAGAAGAGGAAAGUGGAAUUCCAAGUGUAGCGGUGAAAUGCGUAGAGAUUUGGAGGAACACCAGUGGCGAAGGCGGCAUUCUGGACCGAAACUGACGCUGAGGCGCGAAAGCCAGGGGAGCAAACGGG
rnacentral:rRNA from 1 species